CGCAAUUUUAGUAAUAAAUUAAAGGUAUCAGUAGUUUGUUUAUGCUCAAUACUCAUAAUCACAUUAAGAAGAUAAAAAAAAACAAGGUUAAAAAAAAAUAAGAAGAAGAAAGCCCACGGGAAUCACAUGAACCCUUAAUUUGGCUUAAAGCAGCUAAACCGGAAAGCAGCCCUGGUUUGCACUCGAUAUCCGCCAUGCGAA
rnacentral:lncRNA from 1 species